UACGUAGGGUGCAAGCGUUAAUCGGAAUUACUUGGCGUAAAGCGUGCGCAGGCGGUUUUGUAAGUCUGACGUGAAAUCCCCGGGCUCAACCUGGGAAUUGCGUUGGAGACUGCAAGGCUAGAAUCUGGCAGAGGGGGGUAGAAUUCCACGUGUAGCAGUGAAAUGCGUAGAGAUGUGGAGGAACACCGAUGGCGAAGGCAGCCCCCUGGGUCAAGAUUGACGCUCAUGCACGAAAGCGUGGGGAGCAAACAGG
rnacentral:rRNA from 1 species